UAAGGCCUCGAUGUAUGGAGCAUG
rnacentral:siRNA from 1 species